rnacentral:rRNA from 1 species
GACGAACCGUGCGAACGUUAUUCGGAAUCACUGGGCGUAAAGCGCACGUAGGCGGCUUUUUAAGUCAGGGGUGAAAUCCUGGAGCUCAACUCCAGAACUGCCUUUGAUACUGAGAGGCUCGAGUCCGGGAGAGGUGAGUGGAACUGCGAGUGUAGAGGUGAAAUUCGUAGAUAUUCGCAAGAACACCAGUGGCGAAGGCGGCUCACUGGCCCGGUACUGACGCUGAGGUGCGAAAGCGUGGGGAGCAAACAGG